UACGAAGGGUGCAAGCGUUAAUCGGAAUUACUGGGCGUAAAGGGUGCGUAGGCGGUUAUUUAAGUCUGCCGUGAAAUCCCCGGGCUCAACCUGGGAAUGGCGGUGGAUACUGGAUAGCUAGAGUGUGUCAGAGGAUGGUGGAAUUCCCGGUGUAGCAGUGAAAUGCGUAGAGAUCGGGAGGAACACCAGUGGCGAAGGCGGCUACCUGGACCAGCACUGACACUCGAGGCACGAAAGCGUGGGGAGCAAACAGG
rnacentral:rRNA from 1 species